CGUGGAUGAAUGUUCACGUGGUACACAUCGAUGUGCUCCUGGAGGAUACUGUGUCAAUGUACCCGGACUGUACGGGUGCAACUGCCCCACUGGCUAUACUGGAAUAUUCUGUGAUUCAGGUACACGUCGAAAGUUCCCUAGCGGUACGGAGAAGCUGAAUAUGGGCUCCUUGACCACCGCAGCAAUUGAACAAUUCCCUACAAGUUCAACCUCGCCUCGCUCCGCAGUGGACCCUGAAGAGCAUCCUUCAGUUCUUGGCCAGGCGGCUAUCAUUGGCAUUUCAGCGUCUGCUUCAGCCGCUCUGGUUACAUCUGUUGUUGCUUUGUUGCUUUGGAGAUGCAGACUUUCAACGAAGCGUCCUGGGUCGAUUGGCGAUAACAAACGGCAACCCAGCCGCCACCAGGCAGAGGGGGCCGUCACGUGCGAAACAGUCGCGGGUGAGGCACUGAACCAGGCGGGUGUACAAAUCAGGUUGGAAGGUUCCAAUGAGUCUCCCAUUCCCAUGUACGAGAGCGUCGCCUACAUCACUGCAAUGGAGACAUCGUGUCACCUCACCAAAAACGAUGGGUACGAUAUGGCGUCACGCACAUUACCCGGGAUAGUUUGUCAGUGUAAAAGCCAGUAUAAUCGAUAGCAACCAUUAUCUCAUUGGAAACUACGCUUUAUUUAGCUUUCGCAUCUCGCCCUAAGACCAGUCGGACUGAACUAUUUUUCCACACCUCAAAACACUUCGUUCCAGCGUCCAUACUAUCCGCAUUACAGGCUUCCAGAUCCCAUUUAAUUUCACUAUGGAUUGCGUAGAGUCCUAAAAAAGGCCCGUUUUGCUUCCCGGCUAGGCGUGCUCUCGUGUUCUAUAAAUCUAUAAUACUAACUCUUUGUCUCCACCACUAUACAUAUUGCCUGUGUUUGAGCUUCAUCGUACAAGCCCAUGGGCCUAUAAGUCAUACCAAGAGUCCAUAAAUUAUGGACUCUUGGUCUACGUGAUUGAGAUUUGGUGCAGGUUGAAGUAUACACGGUUGCUGAAGGCUGGUCUAAAUGGUUUCCACCAGGGACAUAGCAUAAUAUUCCAAUAAAUUUAUACCAGCCUGCAACUUUAGGAAUAGGAACUUCUGUGGUUUUCUUUUUCAUGCCGUUCAUAAAUCGCUUCGAAUUCUGACUCCUGGUUUCGGUCAA